AUAUAGUAGAAUGUAAUAUAGUAGAAUAUAAUAUAGUAGAAUAGAAGGGUAUAAUGUUUACAGUAUAUUUGUCAAGGAUGUCAAAUCAAAUCAAAUGUUAUUGGUCCAUACACAUGGUUAGCAGAUGUUAAUGCGAGUGUAGCGAAAUGUUUGUGCUUCUAGUUCCGACCAUGCAGUAAUAUCUAACAAGUAAUCUAACAAUUCCCCAACAACUACCUUAUACACACAAGUGUAAAGGAAUGAAUAAGAAUAUGAACAUAUAAAUAUAUGGAUGAGCGAUGGCCGAACGACAUAGGCAAGAUACAGUAGAUGGUAUAGAGUACAGUAUAUACAUAUGAGAUGAGUAAUGUAGGGCAUGUAAACAUUAUAUAAAGUGGCAUUGUUUAAAGUGGCUAGUGAUACAUUUAUUACAUCCAAUCUUUUAUUAUUAAAGUGGCUGGAGAUUUGAGUCAGUAUGUGGGCAGCAGCCACUCAAUGUUAGUGAUGGCUGUUUAACAGUCUGAUGGCCUUGAGAUAGAAGCUGUUUUUCAGUCUCUCGGUCCCAGCUUUGAUGCACCUGUACUGACCUCGCCUUCUGGAUGGUAGUGGUGUGAACAGGCGGUGGCUCGGGUGGUUGUUGUCCUUGAUGAUCUUUUUGGCCUUCCUGUGACAUCGGGUGGUGUAGGUGUCCUGGAGGGCAGGUAGUUUGCCCCCGGUGAUGCGUUGUGCAGACCUCACUAUCCUCAGUAUCCACACGUCUCAGUGUGGAUACUGUUGUAAUAGAUCAGCUGAGAUGGUAUGUUUUGACGUGAGAAAGGAUGCCAACCCCCAGUCCCGUUAUCGCCACCUCACCCGCUCUUAAGAUAACCUUUUGGCCGUCUGGGAGCCCAAGGCUGGUUAGGAGACACCACUAGAGAGACUUAUGUAAUUGUGAUGAACUGAGAGAAUAUUAGGGGUAGCACUGUGAUUCAUUAAACACAUGCUGCCUUCCCUGCUCCUAUGUUCUUACCUCUUUCCCUUUGUCAUCUCCUUUUUCUUCCUCUGUUUUUAUAAUGUGCAUUGAAGUAGAGUGAAAUUGUGUUUAUAAUGCAUGUAUUGUGUAUUUAUAACACUUGUAUAAUGAACUUCUU
rnacentral:lncRNA from 1 species